rnacentral:rRNA from 1 species
CCUACGGGAGGCAGCAGUGAGGAAUAUUGGUCAAUGGGCGGAAGCCUGAACCAGCCAAGCAGCGUGCGGGAUGAAGGUCCUACGGGUCGUAAACCGCUUUUGUACGGGGAUAACACCCUCCACUUGUGGAUGUCUGCAGGUACCGUGCGAAUAAGGGCCGGCUAAGUCCGUUCCAGCAGCCGCGGUAAUACGGAAGGUCCGAGCGUUAUCCGGAUUCAUUGGGUUUAAAGGGAGCGUAGGCGGGCGUUCAAGUCAGCUGUAAAAUCGCGGGGCUCAACCCCGCCCCGCAGUUGAAACUGGACGCCUUGAGUGCACAAGAGGCAGGCGGAAUUCGUGGUGUAGCGGUGAAAUGCAUAGAGAUCACGAGGAACCCCGAUUGCGAAGGCAGCCUGCCGGGGUGCGACUGACGCUGAGGCUCGAAGGUGCGGGUAUCAAACAGGAUUAGAUACCCUUGUAGUC